ensembl:misc_RNA
CAGCAGCUGUUCCUUCCCUUUCCCCCAACAUGUAUUUCCCCAGAUGCCAUCCUACAUGUUCACAUUGAAGAGAUAAGCCUCUCAGAAGGAAGAUAACCAUAGAAAGUUGAAAAGAGAAACCUCUUUAGAUGCUGGUUUAUUAAGAAGAAUGAAGGCAGAUGUGACUGGGGCCAAAGAUCUCAGUGCACAUUCCUGACACUC